rnacentral:rRNA from 1 species
ACUCCUACGGGAGGCAGCAGUGGGGAAUCUUGCGCAAUGGGCGAAAGCCUGAUGCAGCGACGCCGCGUGAGGGAUGACGGCCUUCGGGUUGUAAACCUCUUUCAGCAGGGAAGAAGCGAAAGUGACGGUACCUGCAGAAGAAGCGCCGGCUAACUACGUGCCAGCAGCCGCGGUAAUACGUAGGGCGCAAGCGUUAUCCGGAA